rfam:Ovis aries breed Texel chromosome 7, whole genome shotgun sequence.
UCCUUGGCAGUCCAGUGGUCAGGACAUUGUGCUCUCACUACUGCGGGCCCAGGUUCAAUCCCUGGUUGGGGAA